GACGAACGCUGGCGGCGUGCCUAAUACAUGCAAGUCGAACGCACUCUCGUUUAGAUUGAAGGAGCUUGCUCCUGAUUGAUAAGCAUUUGAGUGAGUGGCGGACGGGUGAGUAACACGUGGGUAACCUGCCCUAAAGUGGGGGAUAACAUUUGGAAACAGAUGCUAAUACCGCAUAAAACCUAGCACCGCAUGGUGCAGGGUUGAAAGAUGGUUUCGGCUAUCACUUUAGGAUGGACCCGCGGUGCAUUAGUUAGUUGGUGAGGUAAAGGCUCACCAAGACCGUGAUGCAUAGCCGACCUGAGAGGGUAAUCGGCCACACUGGGACUGAGACACGGCCCAGACUCCUACGGGAGGCAGCAGUAGGGAAUCUUCCACAAUGGACGAAAGUCUGAUGGAGCAACGCCGCGUGAGUGAAGAAGGUUUUCGGAUCGUAAAACUCUGUUGUUGGAGAAGAAUGUAUCUGAUAGUAACUGAUCAGGUAGUGACGGUAUCCAACCAGAAA
rnacentral:rRNA from 1 species